rnacentral:rRNA from 1 species
UGACAGGAUGCUAAUCCCUAAAACCUACUCUCAGUUCGGAUCGAAGUCUGCAACCCGACUUCGUGAAGCUGGAUUCGCUAGUAAUCGCGCAUCAGCCAUGGCGCGGUGAAUACGUUCCCGGGCCUUGUACACACCGCCCGUCAAGCCAUGAAAGCCGGGGGUACCUGAAGUACGUAACCGCAAGGAGCGUCCUAGGGUAAAACUGGUAAUUGGGGCUAAGUCGUAACAAGGUAAC